rnacentral:rRNA from 1 species
UACGUAGGGUGCAAGCGUUAAUCGGAAUUACUGGGCGUAAAGGGCGCGUAGGCGGUCUCUUAAGCGUGUGGUGAAAGCCCGGGGCUCAACUCCGGGUCGGCCGUGCGAACUGGGGGACUGGAGCUUGUCAGAGGCAGGCGGAAUUCCGGGUGUAGCGGUGGAAUGCGUAGAGAUCCGGAAGAACACCGGUGGCGAAGGCGGCCUGCUGGGACAGUGCUGACGCUGAGGCGCGACAGCGUGGGGAGCAAACAGG